UACGUAGGGUGCAAGCGUUGUCCGGAAUUAUUGGGCGUAAAGAGCUCGUAGGCGGUCUGUCGCGUCGGCUGUGAAAACCCGGAGCUCAACUCCGGGCCUGCAGUCGAUACGGGCAAACUGGAGUACUGCAGGGGAGACUGGAAUUCCUGGUGUAGCGGUGAAAUGCGCAGAUAUCAGGAGGAACACCGGUGGCGAAGGCGGGUCGCUGGGCAGUAACUGACGCUGAGGAGCGAAAGCGUGGGGAGCGAACAGG
rnacentral:rRNA from 1 species